GUUUAAAGCAGGCUAACGCUUGAAUACAUUAGCAUGGAAUAAUGAAAUAGGACGUUCGAACCUAUUUUGUUGGUUUCUAGGAUUGACUAAUGAUUAAUAGGGGAUAGUUGGGGGCAUUAGUAUUCAAUUGUCAGAGGUGAAAUUCUUGGAUUUAUUGAAGACUGACUACUGCGAAAGCAUUUGCCAAGGAUGUUUUCAUUAAUCAAGAACGAAAUUAGGGGAUCGAAGACGAUCAGAUACCGUCGUAGUCUUAACCAUAAACUAUGCCGACUAGGGAUCGGAUGAUGUAAUUUUUAAUGACUCA
rnacentral:rRNA from 1 species